UACGGAGGGUGCAAGCGUUAUCCGGAUUCACUGGGUUUAAAGGGUGCGUAGGAGGGCAGGUAAGUCAGUGGUGAAAUCUCCAAGCUUAACUUGGAAACUGCCGUUGAUACUAUCUGUCUUGAAUACCGUGGAGAUGAGCGGAAUAUGUCAUGUAGCGGUGAAAUGCUUAGAUAUGACAUAGAACACCAAUUGCGAAGGCAGCUCACUGCACAAUCAUUGACGCUGAGGCACGAAGGCGUGGGGAUCAAACAGG
rnacentral:rRNA from 1 species